rnacentral:rRNA from 1 species
AGAGUUUGAUCCUGGCUCAGAUUGAACGCUGGCGGCAGGCCUAACACAUGCAAGUCGAACGGUAGCACAGAGGAGCUUGCUCCUUGGGUGACGAGUGGCGGACGGGUGAGUAAUGUCUGGGAAACUGCCCGAUGGAGGGGGAUAACUACUGGAAACGGUAGCUAAUACCGCAUAACGUCGCAAGACCAAAGAGGGGGACCUUCGGGCCUCUUGCCAUCGGAUGUGCCCAGAUGGGAUUAGCUAGUAGGUGGGGUAACGGCUCACCUAGGCGACGAUCCCUAGCUGGUCUGAGAGGAUGACCAGCCACACUGGAACUGAGACACGGUCCAGACUCCUACGGGAGGCAGCAGUGGGGAAUAUUGCACAAUGGGCGCAAGCCUGAUGCAGCCAUGCCGCGUGUAUGAAGAAGGCCUUCGGGUUGUAAAGUACUUUCAGCGGGGAGGAAGGGGUUAAGGUUAAUACUUAGCCAUUGACGUUACCCGCAGAAGAAGCACCGGCUAACUCCGUGCCAGCAGCCGCGGUAUACGGAGGGUGCAAGCGUUAAUCGGAAUUACUGGGCGUAAAGCGCACGCAGGCGGUCUGUCAAGUCGGAUGUGAAAUCCCCGGGCUCAACCUGGGAACUGCAUCCGAAACUGGCAGGCUAGAGUCUUGUAGAGGGGGGUAGAAUUCCAGGUGUAGCGGUGAAAUGCGUAGAGAUCUGGAGGAAUACCGGUGGCGAAGGCGGCCCCCUGGACAAAGACUGACGCUCAGGUGCGAAAGCGUGGGGAGCAAACAGGAUUAGAUACCCUGGUAGUCCACGCCGUAAACGAUGUCGACUUGGAGGUUGUGCCCUUGAGGCGUGGCUUCCGGAGCUAACGCGUUAAGUCGACCGCCUGGGGAGUACGGCCGCAAGGUUAAAACUCAAAUGAAUUGACGGGGGCCCGCACAAGCGGUGGAGCAUGUGGUUUAAUUCGAUGCAACGCGAAGAACCUUACCUACUCUUGACAUCCACGGAAUUUAGCAGAGAUGCUUUAGUGCCUUCGGGAACCGUGAGACAGGUGCUGCAUGGCUGUCGUCAGCUCGUGUUGUGAAAUGUUGGGUUAAGUCCCGCAACGAGCGCAACCCUUAUCCUUUGUUGCCAGCGGUUAGGCCAGGAACUCAAAGGAGACUGCCAGUGAUAAACUGGAGGAAGGUGGGGAUGACGUCAAGUCAUCAUGGCCCUUACGAGUAGGGCUACACACGUGCUACAAUGGCAUAUACAAAGAGAAGCGACCUCGCGAGAGCAAGCGGACCUCAUAAAGUAUGUCGUAGUCCGGAUCGGAGUCUGCAACUCGACUCCGUGAAGUCGGAAUCGCUAGUAAUCGUGGAUCAGAAUGCCACGGUGAAUACGUUCCCGGGCCUUGUACACACCGCCCGUCACACCAUGGGAGUGGGUUGCAAAAGAAGUAGGUAGCUUAACCUUCGGGAGGGCGCUUACCACUUUGUGAUUCAUGACUGGGGUGAAGUCGUAACAAGGUAACC